ensembl:lncRNA
GUGCUCUGUAAUCCAGGGCUUCAUCUUUUGUGGAUGUGGCUCUGGUGCCCGACGGUCUGUCCCUGUCCUUUUGUUUAAGCCAACCAUAGCUGUGCACUUUCUCUUUUAUGACCGUAUUGUCUGGCGGGGAUGCCAUGUGAUUUUUUUUUCAUUUACUGUGUUUCAGCUGCUCGGGGGCCAAGAAGUUCGAGCAUGAUCAUGUAAUAGUGUGAUUUUUUUUAUUUUAUUUGUGUGUGUGUGUAUGUGUUUUUCAGAGGCUGUGCAGGACAGUAGAAGCUGUUGAAGUUUUGACUGUGGGUUUGUACUCUCCCUCUCACCCACGCUCUGUCUCCAAAAGCUGCAGAGGUUUCGCUGAGAUGGCAAAAACGCGUCGCGACGCAGGAACCGAUAUAAACUGUCAGCCUCCAAGAACACCAACACACGCACAUCUUGUCUUCAUUGGACCUCCAACGAGGGCUGAUUGGGUUAACUGGUUUUCCAGCCCCGUUCUCCAUUUCCAACUUAAAAGUUGAACCUCAUGGCACCUGCGGCACUGUGAGAACAUAUCAGGGAAGCUUCACUUUCAUCUCAUCAGACCGUCUGGCAUGCCGUCACUGUCCAGCGGCGCAUCUCACUGAAACAGCUGCACAGCUUCAAAAGAGUGCCUUGUCUUCAGUGAUCCUUCACAGCACAGCAAAGGCAAGAGAGAUGCCAUCACAAUAAAAUACUUGAUUCUGAUUGGUCAGUCACAACAUUCUG